rnacentral:rRNA from 1 species
UACAACGGGAUACCCGAGGGAAACUUCGGUUAAUACGGUAUAAGACCACACUACCGCAUGGUAGAGGGGUAAAAGGGGCAACCUGGUAUGAGAUGGACUCGCGUCGCAUUAGCUAGUUGGUGAGGUAACGGCCCACCAAGGCGACGAUGCGUAGCCGACCUGAGAGGGUGAUCGGCCACAUUGGGACUGAGAUACGGCCCAGACUCCUACGGGAGGCAGCAGUGGGGAAUAUUGGGCAAUGGAGGAAACUCUGACCCAGCAAUGCCGCGUGAAUGAAGAAGGUCUUCGGAUUGUAAAGUUCUUUAGUCAGGGAAGAAGUCAAUGACGGUACCUGAAGAAUAAGCUCCGGCUAACUACGUGCCAGCAGCCGCGGUAAUACAUAGGGAGCAAGCGUUGUUCGGAAUGACUGGGCGUAAAGGGUGCGUAGGCGGUUGUACAAGUUAGAAGUGAAAUACCCAGGGCUUAACUCGGGUGCUGCUUCUAAAACUGUAUGACUUGAGUGCAGUAGAGGUUAGUGGAAUUCCUAGUGUAGCGGUGGAAUGCGUAGAUAUUAGGAGGAACACCAGAGGCGAAGGCGGCUAACUGGACUGCAACUGACGCUGAGGCACGAAAGUGUGGGGAGCAAACAGGAUUAGAUACCCUGGUAGUCCACACUGUAAACGAUGGAUACUAGAUGUAGGAGGUAUCGACUCCUUCUGCGUCGCAG